UUCCCAUUCUCUCUACCUUUGUGUUUUAACUUUUGUUGAGCACUGGACCAUUACCCAUAAAAGCGCGUGUCUCCGCAUACGUCUUCACUUACCAAUGAGGCACGGGUUCGAGUCCUGGCUUGGCCCAGGCUUUAAGUGCAUUUGGUUUCCAGUCCAUACUCGCUCUCGCAGGUUUUCUCCGGGUACUCCGGUUUCCUCCUGCCUCUAAAACUGGACCUUCUUCCUUACUCCGUAAUAUGAUGCAGAUUAAUAAAGUGCUUGUCGAGCUUCAACCGCGGCAACCCGGGCCAUUGGUCCAGAUUCUGUCCAUUCAAGUACUCGAAUGCUGCACGAUACGAAAGGUGGAUCCAGGUUCAGAUAUCAACCCUUCGCUACUCCUGCCAGAGACAUCCGAUCCCAGGUCAAUUUGCACUGCCCUUCCGCUCUUUACUCCUUCUAUCGCCGCUGCAACCUCAGAACUCGGCAAAGAACCUCAAGCAUCAUCCAAGUCCUAGCUCUGUCGCUGACAGAUUUUCCAACAUAAUACAGGCACUGUUCUCGACCUGUUUCCAAAUGCCAAUCCAUGUGAGGUGAUAGCCAAAAUGGCACAAAAGGGCAAGGACCUGCGAG